GACGAACGCUGGCGGCGUGCUUAACACAUGCAAGUCGAACGGAAAGGCCCUGCUUUUGUGUGGUGCUCGCGUGGCGAACGGGUGAGUAACACGUGAGUAACCUGCCCUUGACUUUGGGAUAACUUCAGGAAACUGGGGCUAAUACCGGAUAGGAGCUCCUGCUGCAUGGUGGGGGUUGGAAAGUUUCGGCGGUUGGGGAUGGACUCGCGGCUUAUCAGCUUGUUGGUGGGGUAGUGGCUUACCAAGGCUUUGACGGGUAGCCGGCCUGAGAGGGUGACCGGCCACAUUGGGGCUGAGAUACGGCCCAGACUCCUACGGGGGGCAGCAGUGGGGAAUAUUGCACAAUGGGCGGAAGCCUGAUGCAGCAACGCCGCGUGCGGGAUGACGGCCUUCGGGUUGUAAACCGCUUUCGCCUGUGACGAAGCGUGAGUGACGGUAAUGGGUAAAGAAGCACCGGCUAACUACGUG
rnacentral:rRNA from 1 species